AUACUUGCCCAGCAGGGGAGAUAGCAAGAUCACAAAGGUGGUUUUCCCAGGGUGAGGCUUAUCCAUCACACUCCAGAUGUGCUAAGCCCUGCGAUUUCCCCAAAUGUGGGAAACUCGACUGCAUAAUUUGUGGUAGUGGGGAAAGGAAAAAAAAUUACUUA
ensembl:snRNA U1 U1 spliceosomal RNA